GAGGGGAGGGGAGGGCUCGCUGCUAGACACCGAAGUUCUUUGUGGAAGCAACAGAUGUUCAGGAUGCAACGGCGUCCUGCAGUUCCCGGGGAAGUGUGGGGGGCAGCGCGGCCCCUCCUCCGCUGCCGACCUCAGCCCGGGACCUGGCCCGACGUGUGCUCUGAAACUCAGCUGUCAGUGAGACCUGGAGAUCCAGUGUUUGGUGCCUCUGCAGAUUUUGCUCCGGAAAAGAACUGUUGUGUCUGAAAUGAGACAUGUGGAUCUGGACAUUUGAACUUCUAUCUAUCCAGAGGGCUCACAAUUAAGAGACUUGUCUUGAGUCUUAAAAGAACCUUUGGACUUUUGAACAGUGUUUGGACCAGUGAAGACUAUGGAGACAUAUGGAGCCUGCAGACUGAAAACCCAUAACCUGUAGAGGCUCCCGGUAUGCAAAGAAGCGAAGCUAUUGAAGUGAAGCCAGCUCUGGAGUGCGCCAGGCACUUUCUGAUGCCACUUGGCACCACAUAACCACUGAAAAGAUAGGUGUCCAUGAGUUCAAAUGACCCUCCGACUGAGUCUGAACACUGACCCUCCAACUGUCCUGCAUAUAGCCCGCAGCCUCCAAUGUUCAAGGACCCAGAAAGGAAGAAACCACUCAAACACUUCAGCUUUUCUUUCCUCUUUUUCCUUGUUAUACUUGUGUUUCCCCAUUUUGCUUUUCACUAUAUCUUCAGUGGUACAUUUAUCAUAUUUUAAAACUCUACCAUUGUUGGGCCUUGAGAGGCCCGGACGUGAGGCCUAGUGGAACUUCCUGAGCCUGGCUAAAGUUUGGCGAACUGCCUCUGCCCAGCUAUGACUCAGCAGGGGGCCAAAUGGCCUCUGGCCUGCCACCUCCGCACAGGAAGUUAGAGUCCCCCGCUGGUGUGUGCUUAGAACCAGUCAUCUCAGAGGUCACGGUGUGCUAUUGGCCCUUACAUCUCACCCCACCCUAAAGUCUCCGCCUUCUUUCUCAACAUUAU